AUGUAGCUGAUAGAGAAGUUAUAAAGGGAAAUAUAAAAUUCGAUUAUUCACUUAUAUUUCUUUACUGGGAAAUAUAUAAAGAGAAACUGUUAUACAAGAUAGACUAUAUAUACAUACGAACAUAUUUAUCUAAACUGAUUUCUGAUAUACCCAGAGUACUUUCAUUUUUGACUUAAUUUGAACGUUUCGCUUGCAAAUGCAAUUUUGCUUAUUUUCUGUUAACUGUUCAAAUUGAAGUAGUUUAUAAAAGAUGUAGCAUAUUUCCGGUAGAUGCAUAAAUAGCGGAUUUUGCUAUAUUCCUAUCAAAAAACAAUCAUAAAUUUCGAAAUUAUACUUUGUUACAUCAAAUUGGUUGACUUUGAAGGGUCAAUGACUGCCACCAUUCAACUCGGAGUAAUUCCGGGGGCUAUUAUUUCAUUUCACUAAGUUCACUUCCGGAGGCACACUAGGAAAGUCGUUUGUGUAAUUGAGUAUUUCCAUUUUGAAUGCCGUUUGCCGGUGUUGUGGCACUUUGUCGAAAAACUCUUGGAUAACAGCUAGAAAUGGAUCGGCCGAUUGCUUGUAGGUGUUUACAAAAUUCAAAUAAUUUUCCACGAGUGUGCGAAAGGUUUCAUCCAAGUUAGAAUAACGUUGUGCAUCGGAGCCUAAGGCGACGCUGGCGACCUUCGCUGCAGCAGUUUUUGGGGACUCGAGUUGUUUGUCCUUCUUGUCGACGGGGUUCUUUAAUUUCGAUUGAUGUGCCACUUGUGAGUUGAGCAAUGGCGCGGAUUGUGAACUAAAAGUACUGAAACUCAUUUGUAAGCCCAUAAAGGAAAGCCAAACUGUAUAAAUAAAUAAAAUAAACUUUAUUCACCCUUUUGGCGUUAUUGCGGCUGUGAGGAAAAAUAGUUGCUCAAAAAAUAACCAUUCUUUCUGCGUAUUGCCGCCUGUUUUACUCCGUGCUCUCAGUUCAAUUACAAAACGAUCUCUUAGAGCCUUCCAACGCUUGCGACAGAUCUCCACUGAAUUUGGAUAAGAAAAAAUAAUAAAUAUUUGUAGAAGAGAAUAUUAACAAACAGAAUUAGCACCAGAUUCGCCGACAUUAUUUGAUACAGAGCUCCAGCAGACGUCCUUCUUUCGCUUAUUUUUAUAGUCUGGGUUGUAUUUAUUCCAGAGACAUUCGUUCUGUUGAAUCUCCUUAAUAAGUCGCUCCUCCAACAUUUUUUUUUUUUGCUUUUU